GACGAACGCUGGCGGCGUGCUUAACACAUGCAAGUCGAGCGGUAAGGCCCCUUCGGGGGUACACGAGCGGCGAACGGGUGAGUAACACGUGAGUAACCUGCCCUACACUUUGGGAUAACCCCGGGAAACCGGGGCUAAUACCGAAUACAACUACUCCGGGCAUCUAGAGUAGUGGAAAGCUCCGGCGGUGAAGGAUGGACUCGCGGCCUAUCAGCUUGUUGGUGGGGUAACGGCCCACCAAGGCAACGGACGGGUAGCCGGCCNGAGAGGGUGACCGGCCACACUGGGACUGAGACACGGCCCAGACUCCUACGGGAGGCAGCAGUGGGGAAUAUUGGACAAUGGGCGAAAGCCUGAUCCAGCAACGCCGCGUGAGGGAUGACGGCCU
rnacentral:rRNA from 1 species